UGUCAACCUCCUGCAUGUUGAUCUUCCCCCGCAUCCCGUGCCAGGUUGAUAAGCCUUCUAGAGGGUUCCUGGUGCUGCUGGCACUCCCAGAAGUCUUUCCAGGGACUAAAAAUAACAUGGGGUGGAAACAGCUCUAAAUAACUAGGGAAUGUGCCAGUCACUCAGAGGGGAGCGGAAACACUGCCCAUACAAGGCAGCUGGGGAUAUAGAUAGAUACACCAGCCAACCUGAACUCAUCCUCUUGCGUCAGCACCCAGAGUUCUCCUCCUCUGUGAGAGAUGUGCAAUCCAGAACCUUCUCGUACUUCCGAUGCUCCAAUAAGUAUUAUGCAGGGAAAGCUCAUGGGGGGCUCUGGUGACAAGAGAUGCCAGCCUCCCACCGUAGAGAUUCCCAUGUCCCAAUUUCUCCCUGCUCCCUUGAGAAGACGAUAGAUGGUCUAUUAUAAGGAGGCUGGGAGACACAGCUGAGAGCCCAGGGUGCCAGGAUGGUUCAGAGGACAUUUAGGAUACAGUCUGGACCAGAUAACUCGGGAGGUGCCUUCCAGAAUUGAAGUUCUGAAAUGUUGUUGUAGUAGAACGCUGCCCAAUCCCUGCAAACUCAUGAUCCGUACCACUUCGUUGGAGCUUCCCAGGAAUGAAGUUAGAAAGUUCCUGAUAGUACUUCGAAACAUGUACCAUGGGACCUCUUUACUGUUGAGAAGCUGAACAGGAUUCAGAGUGAGGUUUUCACAUUAUACAGAGCUAGCCUUGACCUCUGGCCAUUAACAACCACAUCAGGGACAUAGGAAUGGACAUGUGUACUCCAAAAGCAACCUCAUGCCCUGCUUUGUCCUGCCCAGAGCAGGGAAUCAAGAAUAUGAAAAUACCGACUCCCAUUCCUUUUUGUCUGUUUCAUUGGGCUCCAAGGGUAAGUGUGACCAAGACUGGGACAAUCCUUUUGGUCAUCUUCUCUUCACAUAGCAGGGAUGGUGCCCUAAACUCAAUGGAACUUGGUUCACUGACCUCAAUGUCCUGUCAGGGAUUCAUCCUUCUGUAGUUUCACUUCGUGACAUGUCUAGGGUCAAUUUUUAUUCUCAAAUUUAGCCUCUUGGGAAAAUGAGGUCUAUAGAAAUUCAAAGCUUAGAGAAUGAAAGUCUUGGACUAACUUCCUCUUAGUUCUCAGGGAGGGAUCCUUGAGAGACAGUAUGUAGGGAUGGAGCAAUAUAUCUGAGCAACACCUCUCUGCCAUUUUCCUAAGUUUAGAGGGGUUGAUCAGUUUCAGUGACAAUCAUUUAACCUGAAAAUAUACUUUCAGUCUGACUUCCAAGAGCUUCUCUACCCAUCCCCUAUCAUUUACCAUUCCUAGGCUCUUCUUUGGCCCCAUCAUUGUCUCUGCUAUUUCCUACCUGUGUAAUCUUGAGCAGGCCUCAUUCCUUCUCUGAGAGGGGAUGUUUUCCCAUUUGUAAAAUCUGAGAUAUUUUCUUUUAACUCUCUUUGGCCACAAGGAGCCUCAACUUUCCUUUUUCCUUUUCCCUGCCUACUUAUAUCUUUUGUUAAAUCUUUCUCAAAGGCAGAGGUAAGAAUCAGAUCACAGAUUCACAAAUGUCAGAGUUGUAAGAUAAUUCAGAAGCCAUCUCAUCCAAUUCAUGAUCAGCUUAAAAGAAGGAAUUGUUUUUAUUUUUAAAA